rnacentral:rRNA from 1 species
CAAGGAAUUUUCCGCAAUGGGGGCAACCCUGACGGAGCAACGCCGCGUGCGGGAUGACGCUUUUCGGAGUGUAAACCGCUUUUCUCGGGGAGGAUGGAGGACAGUACCCGAGGAAUCAGGCCCGGCUAACUACGUGCCAGCAGCCGCGGUAAUACGUAGGGGCCGAGCGUUGUCCGGAGUUAUUGGGCGUAAAGCGCGCGCAGGUGGCGGCGCGCGUGGGGGGUGAAAUCGCCCGGCUUAACUGGGCGGGGGCCUUCCAGACGGCGUGGCUUGAGCAGCGGAGGGGGACGUGGGAUUCCGGGUGGAGCGGUGAAAUGCGUAGAGAUCCGGAGGAACACCGACGGCGCAGGCAGCGUCCUGGCCGCUUGCUGACACUGAGGCACGAAAGCUGGGGGAGCAAACAGGAUUAGAUACCCUGGUAGUCCCAGCCGUAAACGAUGUCCACCAGGUGCUGGGCGGAUCGACCCGUUCAGUGCCGCAGCUUACGUGAUGAGUGGACCGCCUGGGGAGUACGGCCGCAAGGUUG